GAUGAACGCUGGCGGCGUGCCUAAUACAUGCAAGUCGAGCGAACAGACGAGGAGCUUGCUCCUCUGACUUUAUCGGCGGACGGGUGAUUAACACGUGGUUAACCUACCUAUAAGACUGGGAUAACUUCGGGAAACAGGAGCUAAUACCGGAUAAUAUAUUGAACUGCAUGGUUCAAUAGUUAAAGUCGGUUUUUCUGUCACUUAUAGAUGGAUCCGCGCCGCAUUAGCUAGUUGGUAAGGUAACUGCUUACCAAGGCAACGAUGCGUAGCCGACCUGAGAGGGUGAUCGGCCACACUGGAACUGAGACACGGUCCAGACUCCUACGGGAGGAAGCAGUAGGGACUCCUCCGCAAUGGGCGAAAGCCUGACGGAGCAACGCCGCGUGAGUGAUGAAGGUCUUCGGAUCGUAAAACUCUGUUAUUAUGGAAGAACAAAUGUGUAAGUAACUAUGCACGUCUUGACGGUACCUAAUCAGAAAGCCACGGCUAACUACGUG
rnacentral:rRNA from 1 species